rnacentral:rRNA from 2 species
UUGUCUCAAAGAUUAAGCCAUGCAAGUGUCAGUACAAACUAGAAUAAAGUAAGACCGCGAAUGGCUCAGUAAAUCAGUUGCAGUUUAUUUGAUGUUUGACAAUCACAGUAAUGGAUAACUGUGGUAAUUCCAGAGCUAAUACAUGCAAAAUUGUCGCCCGAAUCGCUUCGGCGAGGAAGACGACGCACUUGUCUGAGAGAUAAAACCCGACGUAUUGAAAAAGUUGAUGCAGGACAAUUAGAAAUGAUCGCACGUGCCCAGAGCACGGCGACGCAUCAUUCAAGUGCCUGCUCUAUCAACUGUUGAUGGUCGGCUAUGAGCUUACCAUGGUGGUAACGGGUGACGGGGAAUCAGGGUUCGAUUCCGGAGAGGGAGCCUGAGAAAUUGCUACCACAUCCAAGGAAGGCAGCAGGCGCGCAAAUUACCCACUCCCGGCACGGGGAGGUAGUGACGAAGCAUACCGAUGCGGGACUCCCAUCCGAGGCCCCGUGAUCGGAUUGAGACGGGUACAGAGAACCCGAAAAGCAUACUGGAGGGCAAGUCUGGUGCCAGCAGCCGCGGUAAUUCCAGCUCCAGUAGCGUAUGCUAAUGUUGUGGAGGUUAAAAAGCUCGUAGUCUGAAUUGUGUCUAGCGCUGCGGGUCCACAGCAUGUCUGUGCUGACUGCGUAUGUCGCCUAGACUUCAUGGCUGGUAGCGGAGGAGGCUCGGUACGGGGUAAGGGCUUGGUUCCUUCGGGUUAAUCAUGUUCCUCCCUUCCGUAGCUCGAAUCCGCAACUUCAGGUCCCGACCUGGUGCUCUUGACCGAGUGCCUUGGAGGGCCAGCACUCUUACUUUGAACAAACUCGAGUGCUCAAAGCAGGCCUUCCGGCCUUGUCGCUGUGUGCAUGGAAUAACAGAAUAGGACUUCGGUUCUAUUUUUUGUUGGGUUCUUAAGAACCGAGGUAAUGAUCAACAGGAGCAGUCGGGGGCAUCCGUAUUGCAGGGUUAGAGGUGAAAUUCUUGGAUCCUUGCAAGACGAACUAAAGCGAAAGCAUUUGCCAAGGAUGCUUUCAUUGAUCAAGAGCGAAAGUUGGAGGAUCGAAGGCGAUCAGAUACCGCCCUAGUUCCAACCAUAAACUAUGCCGGCCAGCUAUACGUCGGAGUCGAAAUGACCCGGUGUGGAGCCCACGGGAAACCAGAGCUUUCAGGUUCCUGGGGUAGUAUGGUUGCAAAGCUGAAACUUAAAGGAAUUGACGGAAGGGCACCACCAGGAGUGGAGCCUGCGGCUUAAUUUGACUCAACACGGGGAAACUUACCAGGGCAGGACAACAGCAGGAUUGACAGAAUGAAGAUCUUUCUUGAUUUUUUGGGUGGUGGUGCAUGGCCGUUCCUAGUUGGUGAGGCGGCUUGUCUGGUUUAUUCCGAUAACGAACGAGAUCCUGCAUUGCUAAAUAGACCUGAUGGUAUCCCUUCGGGGCUACAUAUGGAAAACAAACCUUCUUAGAGUGAACAACUGCCUAGAGCAGCAUGAAAAUGGGCUAUAACAGGUCUGAGAUGCCCUUAGAUGUCUUGGGCCGCACGCGUGCUACAAUGAAGGAGGAAGAGAGCACGCUCCAGGGCCGUGAGGUUAUGGUAAUCCCCAAAUUUCUUCGUGAAGGGGAUAGGGGUUUGAAAUUAACCCCUUGAACUAGGAAUUCCCAGUAGGCGCAAGUCAAGAGCUUGCGUCGAUUGAGUCCCUGCCCUUUGUCCACACCGCCCGUCGCUACUACCGAUUGAAUGGUCUAGUGAGAUCUCCGGACCGGAGCUCAAGAUCCAAAAGGUCUUGGCAUCCCGGGAGGCUGAUCGAACUUGAUCG